UAGCCCGCGGACGCUCACAACGUAACCGACGGUGGUGACUCACUCCCAACCCGUGUUGCUCUCCAUCAGUGCUGACGGAUUAGUUUGUUUUACAGUGUGGGCACCAGGUCUCUGAGUAGUUCAAAUCUGAACGCAACACCAAGGCUGCCAGCCUGAGCAUUGCCGAACAGUACAGCAAAGCAUUUUCUGAACUUGCUAAAAGCAAACAUGGAAGCUCUCCCUAAUUCAUCGAUUAAAGGUGGCUCACAUAGAUCGUUCUCUUACUGACUAAUUAAUUAGAUUAUGGAUUUUCUUUAUGUUAUUAUUACUGAUCUCAGAUGCUUAGUUUCCAAGUUUAUCUCAAAACUUCACCUUCUAUGAAUGCCCCCAGGUGGUGCAUAUCUAAAAGCUCUUUGUGCAUUCUUAAGAUUUUUGUAUAUGCAUUUGCGUGAAUUGAGCCCGGAUCUGAUCUGGUUUGGCUAUGUUCAUGGUUUUCUUUGGUCAUGUAUGAGUGGAAAAGGGAGGCAGGGGAGUUCCAGUUUGUGAGGACAGUGGCGACAUGGUUGACUGAAUGGCAAUAGGAAGAAGGCACAUCUCAUAUAAUUGUUUUAUUCAAGACAAGUCUACACUCUCUUAUGUCAAAUUUGCACAGAUUUCCCUGCCCUAGGCUAUUUCUAAGGGGGAGAGAAGAGUGUUAUUUUUUGGGGGGAUUACAAAGAAUGGUAGCGCAUGAGGAGUAUUAGCCACGGAGGAGGGAGGAGACUGACAUGAGAAAAACAUAUUCUGGAUCGAUUUGGUUCUCAUGGUGGCAUCUUCCCUGCUUUCUCCUUUCUUUUUAUUUCCAACACUCUUUGGUACAGAGCGAUUAACAAACAACUGAAUUGAAUAUUGCUUUUUCUCCUUUUCAGAUAAGUUAGUUUACAUUAGUUUUCUGUUUGCUUUCCGUAUGGAUCUAUACAUGUUAU